rnacentral:rRNA from 1 species
AUUGAACGCUAGCGGCAGGCCUAACACAUGCAAGUCGAGCGAGCGGCGGACGGGUGAGUAAUGUAUGGGGACUUCCCGAUAGAGGGGGAUAACUACUGGAAACGGUAGCUAAUACCGCAUACUAUCGGAUAACCCAUAUGGGAUUAGCUAGUAGGUGAGGUAAUGGCUCACCUAGGCGACGAUCCCUAGCUGGUCUGAGAGGAUGAUCAGCCACACGGUGACUCAUACACGGCCCAGACUCCUACGGAGGCAGCAGUGGGGAAUAUUGCACAAGGGGCGCAAGCCUGAUGCAGCCAUGCCGCGUGUAUGAGGAAGGCCCUAGGGUUGUAAAGUACUUUCAGUCGGGAGGCGUGACUGACAGAAGAGGCACCGGCGAACUCCGUGCCAGCAGCCGCGGUAAUUC